AUUUAUAGCGAUGAAGUCAACGGUAUAAACCCUAGCUUGCCUCUAUAAAUUGCCCAAACUUGUUCUUGCUCCCCCAGAAGGUCCACAAGCUUUCGACCCUCUAGUUGGUGAACAUAAAGAAAAGCAGAAAAAUGAGGUUUUUAGCGCUUGCUCUAGCCUUGAUGAUGGUGACUUCUUGUUCGGCAGCAGCUCGGAAGAUGUUGACGGUUGAAAAUAAUGUGCAAGAGCAGGAGGCGCAAGCGCAGAAUGUGAACGAUGUGAAUGAUCACCACGCUAUUCCGAGAAAGGACUUCGGCAACUAUAUUGGCAACAAUAAUGGGAAUGGCGGUGGGACAAAACCCUAGUAUAAUUAGCAUGCCAUAUAUAACUUUAUAUUUAUUGUAACAUAUCAAUCUGCGUGGCGACUGGCGAGCACAUAUAUAAAUGUUCUCUACUAUAAAUAAUGCCAAAUGCUAAUAUAUAACUUCAUAUUUAUUGUAACAUAUCAAUCUGUGUGGCGACUGGUGAAUACAUAUAUAUGUUACAUGUUGCGUGGUUACAAUCGUAUUACAUGUGCUUCGAAUUUCCUUGUGAA